rnacentral:rRNA from 1 species
AUGGCGGGCUCCUGGCGAGCUGCAGCGCUGGCGGUGGCCAUGGUUUGUUGGGCCGCGAGCAGCUGCGUGCUCGGGUUCCCGGAGGAAGAUUUGGUGGGGCGGCUGCCCGGGCAGCCGAUCGUGGGGUUCAGGCAGUUCGCCGGGUACGUGGACGUGGACGGCAAGGCCGGGAGGAGCCUCUUCUACUACUCCGCCGAGGCGCAGGACCACGCCGCCGGCAAGCCGCUCACGCUCUGGCUCAACGGAGGUCCUGGCUGUUCUUCGGUUGGAGGCGGCGCGUUUACGGAGCUUGGCCCAUUUUAUCCCAGAGGAGAUGGUAGAGGCCUUCGAUUAAACAAGAAAUCAUGGAAUAAAGCUGGAGUUGGAUGGUCCUACUCCAACACUUCGUCAGACUACAAUACAGGAGAUACACGGACUGCUAAUGAUAUGUACAAAUUUCUGUUGGGUUGGUAUAAGAAGUUCCCGGAGUACAGAUCAACAAGCUUAUUUCUCUCUGGAGAGAGCUACGCAGGGCAUCAUAUACCGCAGCUAACCGAUGUUCUUCUCACGCACAAUGAGAAAUCAAAGGGUUUUAAGUUCAAUAUAAAGGGGGUAGCUAUCGGGAAUCCGUUACUCGAGCUUGACAGGUAUAUCCGCGUGAGAUAUGAGUACUUCUGGUCUCAUGGUAUGAUCUCCGAUGAAAUAUUUCUGGCCAUAAAGAAGGAUUGUGAUUUUGAGGAUUACACAUCCGGUAACCCCCACAAUGAGAGCAAGUCAUGCAAUGAUGCCAUUGACGAGGCAAUAGCUAUGGUUGGAGAAUAUGUCGACGACUAUGAUGUCAUGUCUGUGACCAAGAUCAGUUUAGGAGUGGAUGUUUGCAUGUCAUAUGAAGGUAACUUCUACUUCAAUCUUCCAGAAGUGCAGCAUGCUCUUCAUGCUAAUAGAACACAUCUACCUUAUAGCUGGAGCAUGUGCAGUGAUGUGCUGAAUUUCACCGGAAAGGAUGUUUACACCAACAUCUUGCCUUUACUUCAGAGAAUAGUGGAACAAAAGAUACCAGUUUGGGUAUUCAGCGGCGAUCAAGACUCUGUCGUGCCCCUCUUGCGCACCCGAACCCUUGUGCGAGAGCUAGCUCAUGCAAUGGGGCUGCCCGUCACAGUGCCGUACAGUAGUUGGUUCCGCAAAGGCCAGGUUGGAGGCUGGGCAACCGAGUACGGUAAUAUGCUCACAUUUGCAACAGUGCGGGGCGCAUCUCACAUGGUGCCAUUUUCACAGCCAGACCGAGCUCUCGGCCUAUUUCGCUCGUUUGUGCUUGGACAGAGGCUCCCAAACACAACCCAUCGACCCAUUGACUAA